rnacentral:misc_RNA from 1 species
CGAUUGUAAUAUAUGGGCAGGCGAAAGGAUGGACGUCCCAAGCGAAGAUUACGAUGUGAGCAUUAUGAUACAGGCAAUUCACGAGGUUCAAGAUGUUUUGACCUCUAGGCAGUUUGCUACUUUUUCUGAAGUGGACACGGAGAUCGGCAAGACGCUGAAGCGGUACGAGGCUUUCGGUGACGGUUUCGAGAGAUUUCACGUCAACUUGACCAAAGAUGCGCUGCAGUCUAACGACUUGCAGAAGAGCCUCAAGGAUAUGGAUAAGCGCUGUCAAGAUCGCCUGAGAGACUGCGCGUCUAGCCAGAAGGAUCAGAUUAAUGACAUUUUGCCCUUUAUACGUAAUACAUCUUCCAUUCUCGUUCACGGGUCGGGUAAUUUGCUGGCGCUAACUAUUGCCUGCUCCAUUCAGGAGCAUGAGGGGGUUCGCUUUUACAUCUGCGAAGGGCGACCCGCGCGCAAGGGCUAUCCCCAUGGCUCCGGCGAGCAGCUGCUAGAAAAGGUGCUCGCAACACCGGAAGGUAUGCGGCUAAAGGACAAGCUGCAUAAUUAUUGCAGGAUCGUGCCUGACAGCGGUGUGAGCUCGGUGAUGAACAAUGUGGACUUCGUCAUUAUGGGAGCGUACUGUGUGACAGAGCACGGUGGACUCGUUCACUCCACGGGCUCCCUUCAGAUUGCCAUAGUGGCCGCCUUCCGUAAUGUUCCUUGCUACGUGUUGUGUGAGACUUUCAAGUUUGCGCACAUUUUUCCUCUUAGCACUGACGAUCUGAAACAGCCGGAGGAUGGCGCCGGAGAAGUGGUUCCUUUGGUGGAGUUUGUGCCGCCGUCCAUGAUCACGCUUAUCUUUUCGGAGCAGGGUAUCAUGCCGCCUUCUGCAGUCGCUGAUGAGAUGUUCCGUUUUCACACGGCUCCUUCUGCUCCAGGAAAGCGGCGAUAAAAGGGCACCUGUUUUGAGCAUUAUACGUUAAGGUAUAUGUAGGUGGGCGUUUGUUUCUGUAUGUGCUUAGUGGAACGCGCUGAAGUAGUGUGCUGGACGUGUUAAAGCAAUCUUGCUGAUGCUCUCACUGCACUUGCAGAGCCCUACUGCUUUCGGUCAAUCUUUCGUUUCGCUGCAUUUGCGCAAUGGGAUACCUGCGUGAAGAUUUGCGUGUUUUUGUCUACCUGGAAAAUGAAUGGGCCCUCACGUGCAUGUUGCGCUUUGAGUAUGUCUCUACGUCACCAUUUCUCUCUGCUUUCGCUUUCUGCCACUGCUGCGUGCGUGAAAAUCACGCUUUGAAG